rnacentral:rRNA from 1 species
UACGAAGGGGGCUAGCGUUGUUCGGAAUCACUGGGCGUAAAGCGUAUGUAGGCGGAUCGUUAAGUCGGGGGUGAAAUCCCGAGGCUCAACCUCGGAACCGCCUUCGAUACUGGCGAUCUUCGAGUCCGGGAGAGGUGAGUGGAACUCCGAGUGUAGAGGUGAAAUUCGUAGAUAUUCGGAAGAACACCAGUGGCGAAGGCGGCUCACUGGCCCGGUACUGACGCUGAUAUACGAAAGCGUGGGGAGCAAACAGG